rnacentral:rRNA from 1 species
GGUUAAGCGACUAAGCGUACACGGUGGAUGCCCUGGCAGUCAGAGGCGAUGAAGGACGUGCUAAUCUGCGAUAAGCGUCGGUAAGGUGAUAUGAACCGUUAUAACCGGCGAUUUCCGAAUGGGGAAACCCAGUGUGUUUCGACACACUAUCAUUAACUGAAUCCAUAGGUUAAUGAGGCGAACCGGGGGAACUGAAACAUCUAAGUACCCCGAGGAAAAGAAAUCAACCGAGAUUCCCCCAGUAGCGGCGAGCGAACGGGGAGGAGCCCAGAGCCUGAAUCAGUGUGUGUGUUAGUGGAAGCGUCUGGAAAGGCGCGCGAUACAGGGUGACAGCCCCGUACACAAAAAUGCACAUACUGUGAGCUCGAUGAGUAGGGCGGGACACGUGGUAUCCUGUCUGAAUAUGGGGGGACCAUCCUCCAAGGCUAAAUACUCCUGACUGACCGAUAGUGAACCAGUACCGUGAGGGAAAGGCGAAAAGAACCCCGGCGAGGGGAGUGAAAAAGAACCUGAAACCGUGUACGUACAAGCAGUGGGAGCCUCUUUAUGGGGUGACUGCGUACCUUUUGUAUAAUGGGUCAGCGACUUAUAUUCUGUAGCAAGGUUAACCGAAUAGGGGAGCCGAAGGGAAACCGAGUCUUAACUGGGCGUUAAGUUGCAGGGUAUAGACCCGAAACCCGGUGAUCUAGCCAUGGGCAGGUUGAAGGUUGGGUAACACUAACUGGAGGACCGAACCGACUAAUGUUGAAAAAUUAGCGGAUGACUUGUGGCUGGGGGUGAAAGGCCAAUCAAACCGGGAGAUAGCUGGUUCUCCCCGAAAGCUAUUUAGGUAGCGCCUCGUGAAUUCAUCUCCGGGGGUAGAGCACUGUUUCGGCAAGGGGGUCAUCCCGACUUACCAACCCGAUGCAAACUGCGAAUACCGGAGAAUGUUAUCACGGGAGACACACGGCGGGUGCUAACGUCCGUCGUGAAGAGGGAAACAACCCAGACCGCCAGCUAAGGUCCCAAAGUCAUGGUUAAGUGGGAAACGAUGUGGGAAGGCCCAGACAGCCAGGAUGUUGGCUUAGAAGCAGCCAUCAUUUAAAGAAAGCGUAAUAGCUCACUGGUCGAGUCGGCCUGCGCGGAAGAUGUAACGGGGCUAAACCAUGCACCGAAGCUGCGGCAGCGACGCUUAUGCGUUGUUGGGUAGGGGAGCGUUCUGUAAGCCUGCGAAGGUGUGCUGUGAGGCAUGCUGGAGGUAUCAGAAGUGCGAAUGCUGACAUAAGUAACGAUAAAGCGGGUGAAAAGCCCGCUCGCCGGAAGACCAAGGGUUCCUGUCCAACGUUAAUCGGGGCAGGGUGAGUCGACCCCUAAGGCGAGGCCGAAAGGCGUAGUCGAUGGGAAACAGGUUAAUAUUCCUGUACUUGGUGUUACUGCGAAGGGGGGACGGAGAAGGCUAUGUUGGCCGGGCGACGGUUGUCCCGGUUUAAGCGUGUAGGCUGGUUUUCCAGGCAAAUCCGGAAAAUCAAGGCUGAGGCGUGAUGACGAGGCACUACGGUGCUGAAGCAACAAAUGCCCUGCUUCCAGGAAAAGCCUCUAAGCAUCAGGUAACAUCAAAUCGUACCCCAAACCGACACAGGUGGUCAGGUAGAGAAUACCAAGGCGCUUGAGAGAACUCGGGUGAAGGAACUAGGCAAAAUGGUGCCGUAACUUCGGGAGAAGGCACGCUGAUAUGUAGGUGAAGCGACUUGCUCGUGGAGCUGAAAUCAGUCGAAGAUACCAGCUGGCUGCAACUGUUUAUUAAAAACACAGCACUGUGCAAACACGAAAGUGGACGUAUACGGUGUGACGCCUGCCCGGUGCCGGAAGGUUAAUUGAUGGGGUUAGCGGUAACGCGAAGCUCUUGAUCGAAGCCCCGGUAAACGGCGGCCGUAACUAUAACGGUCCUAAGGUAGCGAAAUUCCUUGUCGGGUAAGUUCCGACCUGCACGAAUGGCGUAAUGAUGGCCAGGCUGUCUCCACCCGAGACUCAGUGAAAUUGAACUCGCUGUGAAGAUGCAGUGUACCCGCGGCAAGACGGAAAGACCCCGUGAACCUUUACUAUAGCUUGACACUGAACAUUGAGCCUUGAUGUGUAGGAUAGGUGGGAGGCUUUGAAGUGUGGACGCCAGUCUGCAUGGAGCCGACCUUGAAAUACCACCCUUUAAUGUUUGAUGUUCUAACGUUGGCCCGUAAUCCGGGUUGCGGACAGUGUCUGGUGGGUAGUUUGACUGGGGCGGUCUCCUCCUAAAGAGUAACGGAGGAGCACGAAGGUUGGCUAAUCCUGGUCGGACAUCAGGAGGUUAGUGCAAUGGCAUAAGCCAGCUUGACUGCGAGCGUGACGGCGCGAGCAGGUGCGAAAGCAGGUCAUAGUGAUCCGGUGGUUCUGAAUGGAAGGGCCAUCGCUCAACGGAUAAAAGGUACUCCGGGGAUAACAGGCUGAUACCGCCCAAGAGUUCAUAUCGACGGCGGUGUUUGGCACCUCGAUGUCGGCUCAUCACAUCCUGGGGCUGAAGUAGGUCCCAAGGGUAUGGCUGUUCGCCAUUUAAAGUGGUACGCGAGCUGGGUUUAGAACGUCGUGAGACAGUUCGGUCCCUAUCUGCCGUGGGCGCUGGAGAACUGAGGGGGGCUGCUCCUAGUACGAGAGGACCGGAGUGGACGCAUCACUGGUGUUCGGGUUGUCAUGCCAAUGGCACUGCCCGGUAGCUAAAUGCGGAAGAGAUAAGUGCUGAAAGCAUCUAAGCACGAAACUUGCCCCGAGAUGAGUUCUCCCUGAGACUUUAAGUCUCCUGAAGGAACGUUGAAGACGACGACGUUGAUAGGCCGGGUGUGUAAGCGCAGCGAUGCGUUGAGCUAACCGGUACUAAUGAACCGUGAGGCUUAACCUU